rnacentral:rRNA from 1 species
UACGGAGGAUGCGAGCGUUAUCCGGAUUUAUUGGGUUUAAAGGGUGCGUAGGCGGUCCGUUAAGUCAGCGGUAAAAUUGCGGGGCUCAACCCCGUCGAGCCGUUGAAACUGGCAGACUUGAGUUGGCGAGAAGUACGCGGAAUGCGCGGUGUAGCGGUGAAAUGCAUAGAUAUCGCGCAGAACUCCGAUUGCGAAGGCAGCAUGCCGGCUCCACACUGACGCUGAGGCACGAAAGCGUGGGUAUCGAACAGG